rnacentral:ncRNA from 1 species
AAAUAGACGUUGAAGAGGAAUAGUAGCUUAGAAUAAACGUCCCAGAGAGAGAGCAGUUGGUGUGAAGCUCUUACGAUAAAAAAGCGAACCAGCCUUGGAGUCCUGUAUGAAAGCGUUUGCAUAAGUACAGCGUGUCCCGCGUUAAGGGUGAUAAUGAAGUGAAAUCUGUUUUGAAUGUAAACAGAUUUAAAUAGGGUGGUACCGCCGAGUCUUCGGUCCCUGUU